rnacentral:rRNA from 1 species
CGGACAGUGCCUGGUGGGUAGUUUGACUGGGGCGGUCUCCUCCCAAAGAGUAACGGAGGAGCACGAAGGUGGGCUAAUCACGGUUGGACAUCGUGAGGUUAGUGCAAUGGCAUAAGCCCGCUUGACUGCGAGAAUGACAAUUCGAGCAGGUGCGAAAGCAGGUCAUAGUGAUCCGGUGGUUCUGAAUGGAAGGGCCAUCGCUCAACGGAUAAAAGGUACUCCGGGGAUAACAGGCUGAUACCGCCCAAGAGUUCAUAUCGACGGCGGUGUUUGGCACCUCGAUGUCGGCUCAUCACAUCCUGGGGCUGAAGUCGGUCCCAAGGGUAUGGCUGUUCGCCAUUUAAAGUGGUACGCGAGCUGGGUUUAGAACGUCGUGAGACAGUUCGGUCCCUAUCUGCCGUGGGCGUUGGAAGAUUGAAGGGGGCUGCUCCUAGUACGAGAGGACCGGAGUGGACGAACCUCUGGUGUUCGGGUUGUGUCGCCAGACGCAUUGCCCGGUAGCUAAGUUCGGAAU